ACAACUGUGAACUGCAAUCGUGGUAUGAUCAAGUGUGCCUCAAGUAAUGUAUGCAUUCCUCAACAGUGGCAAUGCAAUGGUCGUCCAGAUUGCAAAGAUAACAGCGACGAACAAGCUUGCGAUUCAACCAAAUGUUCUAGCAGCGAGUUUGAGUGUGCUGAUGGGAAGUGUAUAGACCUAGCUUGGAGAUGCGAUCUCGAUCAUGAUUGUGACGACGCGAGUGAUG